rnacentral:rRNA from 1 species
GAUGAACGCUGGCGGCGUGCCUAAUACAUGCAAGUCGAGCGAACAGACGAGGAGCUUGCUCCUCUGACGUUAGCGGCGGACGGGUGAGUAACACGUGGAUAACCUACCUAUAAGACUGGGAUAACUUCGGGAAACCGGAGCUAAUACCGGAUAAUAUAUUUAACCGCAUGGUUCAAUAGUGAAAGACGGUUUUGCUGUCACUUAUAGAUGGAUCCGCGCCGCAUUAGCUAGUUGGUAAGGUAACAGCUUACCAAGGCAACGAUGCGUAGCCGACCUGAGAGGGUGAUCGGCCACACUGGAACUGAGACACGGUCCAGACUCCUACGGGAGGCAGCAGUAGGGAAUCUUCCGCAAUGGGCGAAAGCCUGACGGAGCAACGCCGCGUGAGUGAUGAAGGUCUUCGGAUCGUAAAACUCUGUUAUUAGGGAAGAACAAAUGUGUAAGUAACUAUGCACGUCUUGACGGUACCUAAUCAGAAAGCCACGGCUAACUACGUG